rnacentral:RNase_P_RNA from 1 species
CAGGCUGGUCGGGCAAUCGCGGUCCUGCGUUGUCGGGAUCGAGGAAAGUCCGCACUCCUAUAGAGCACGGCGUCGGAGAGUACCCCGGGGCGGGGAAGCCGCCGAGAGGCGCGAACCUGCCGGAAUGGGCCAUAUAGAGCACGGCGUCGGAGAGUACCCCGGGGCGGGGAAGCCGCCGAGAGGCGCGAACCUGCCGGAAUGGGCCACAGAAACAUGUCGCUCUCUCGCCCCUCACGGGGAGAGAGUCAGAGUGAAAAGGUGGUGUAAGAGACCACCGGCGCAUGUAGUAAUACAUGCGGCCAGGCAACCCCCGCCGGGAGCAAGGCCAAGCAGGGACGAUUUCGUCCGUGGACGAUGGGAGGCUGCUCGUCUCCUUACGCGCCCUUCCCUACCUGUGGGUUGGGCCAGUCCCGGGUAGGCUGCACCGAGCGGAGCGGCGACGCUUCGCCCAGAGAGAUGAUUGCCCAGGUGGAAACACCGGACAGAAUGCGGCUUAUAGACCAGCCUGAAGC